rnacentral:lncRNA from 1 species
CUGGGUAUAGCCCUGCUUCACCUGGUUAUAGCCCCAGCUCACCAACAUAUAGUCCAAGCUCUCCAGGAUAUAGUCCUAGUAGCCCUACAUAUUCACCGACAAGUCCAUCCUACUCCCCUACCUCCCCCAGCUACAGCCCCACCUCCCCCAGCUACAGCCCCACCUCCCCAAGCUACAGCCCGACCUCCCCAAGCUACAGCCCCACCUCACCUGCCUACAGCCCCACCUCACCUGCUUACAGCCCCACCUCUCCGUCCUACAGCCCCACCUCUCCAUCCUACAGCCCGACCUCUCCGUCCUACAGCCCGAGCUCCCCGUCCUACAGCCCAACCUCCCCAUCCUACAGUCCAACCUCCCCAUCAUACAGCCCAACCUCACCUUCAUACAGUCCAACUUCUCCAUCAUAUAGUCCUACUUCUCCUGCAUACAGUCCCACAUCGCCGAGCUACAGUCCCAC